AGAUAUGAGUUUCACUUUAAAAGCUAAAUGAAAGGUUGUAUUGCAAUAGCCUGCAAUUUUGAAAACAAUACAUGCCAGUAGUAGAAAGCUAAUAGCACUCAGUGAGAAGUAUUAGGUUAAUCUGAUUAAAUGUACCUUUAUUGGUUUUAGGGAAUAGUAUAAAUCAUUUAAUCCUCCUCAGUAGAAUAAUAGUCAUUAACAAAACAUUGCUUGUUAAUGGCUAUCUGAUCUAUGGUUUGCAGAAGCAAGUCAAUAAAGAAGUAAACUUAUUUCUUCUUAAAUAUCAGUGUCUGACAGAUAUAUUUUUAAAAAUACCUCAGGAAGUAAUUCUGGCAAAUAUCAAGAUAAGACCGAUACUUUCCUUCUGAUUUAGAUAAAUAUCUGCCACUUCAUAUCACUUCUGGCUGACACUGGUACUGCAAUGUAACCAUGAUGGAUGGUAACUAUCUAUUUAUCUAUCCGCAGGGAAAUAUAGUCUUACCAAAUUACAGUACUGGGAGGAGGCAAGGAAGAAAACUCAGCUGCUUAUCCAAAAGUCGAAAUGUAAAAUUAUAAAAUAUAAAGUCUGUUUUAUUUACAACUUCACUGUGGCAUGGGAAAAAUAGAAAAUGUAUUAACAAACUUGAAACACAUAUAGUAUAAGAGUACCAUUUUUUGUAAUGGAUCAGUCUGUCAGUCAUAGUUUCCUCUUACAGAAAGCAUGCUGAGCAUAACAAGCAGUGAGAGGGGCCAUGCAGUUAUGACAACUUCACGUUCUGCAGCUUUACAAGCAUCACUGCAGUGUCAAAACUUGGAGUACAAAACCAAACACAAAUAAAUCUUCCUCCCAGUCUUACCGCAAAACACUUCAGGACAUUACAAGAAGUGAACAGUUAACAUUAACACACAGGAAACAAGAUAAUGUUCCCAUUACGAGUCCUAUUCAAAGCACAUGAAAAAAGAAGAAAAGGUUGGGAAGACAGUGGAGAACCUACCUGUCAGACUGUUAUGUUGGACAGUUUACAUAUACUAAAAAAAAUAGUGUAUACUUUAAAUUGUUCUAUGCUAAGUGCAAAGGUUUAAAAUUAAUACCAAUUCUUAUAUUUUAAUUAUAAUCAGCAAGUAAACAAAGUGAGAUUUGGGGGGAGGAAUAUUUCCUGGAUAAACUCAUUAAUUGUGACAUAUGAUGAUGACUAAAAAAUAUGAAAAAUCCAGAGAGACACCUGGGGUUUUGAUACAUUUUAUAAUGUCUAAAAUGUUCUUUUUCCUGGGAAAGCUCCAUAACUUUGCUUUGAAUUUAUUUUUUAUUGUACAAGCUAAUAAUAAU
ensembl:lncRNA